rnacentral:rRNA from 1 species
GGGUACUCGAGCGGCGAACGGGUGAGUAACACGUGAGCAACCUGCCCCAAGCUUUGGGAUAACCCUCGGAAACGGGGGCUAAUACCGAAUAGGACUGCUGGCCGCAUGGCUGGUGGUGGAAAGUUUUUCGGCUUGGGAUGGGCUCGCGGCCUAUCAGCUUGUUGGUGGGGUGAUGGCCUACCAAGGCGACGACGGGUAGCCGGCCUGAGAGGGCGACCGGCCACACUGGGACUGAGACACGGCCCAGACUCCUACGGGAGGCAGCAGUGGGGAAUAUUGCACAAUGGGCGGAAGCCUGAUGCAGCGACGCCGCGUGAGGGAUGACGGCCUUCGGGUUGUAAACCUCUUUCAGCAGGGACGAAGCGAGAGUGACGGUACCUGCAGAAGAAGCACCGGCCAACUACGUGCCAGCAGCCGCGGUAAGACGUAGGGUGCGAGCGUUGUCCGGAUUUAUUGGGCGUAAAGAGCUCGUAGGCGGCUUGUCGCGUCGACCGUGAAAACUUGGGGCUCAACCCCAAGCCUGCGGUCGAUACGGGCAGGCUAGAGUUCGGUAGGGGAGACUGGAAUUCCUGGUGUAGCGGUGAAAUGCGCAGAUAUCAGG